AUGGCUCCGGCGACGGCGGACGCGGCGGGGGCGGCGGUGGGGGGUCGGGUGAAGACGGCGCUGGGGGUGGCGGCGUGCGAGCGGGACGCGGAGAAGCUGGAGCUGAUCGAGCAGCUGACCAAGGGGUUCGACGACGAGCAGCAGAGGGUGCUGGCGGCGAUCCUGGCGCGCAACAACGGCGCCGAGUACCUCCGCCGGCACGGCAUGGAGGGCUGCACCGACCGGGACGCCUUCAAGGCCCGCGUCCCCGUGGUGACCUACGAGGACCUCCGGCCGGAGAUCGAGCGCAUCGCCAACGGCGACCGCUCCAACAUCAUCUCCUCCCACCCCAUCUCCGAGUUCUUGACCAGCUCGGGGACGUCAGCCGGGGAGAGGAAGCUAAUGCCGACGAUCGAGGAUGAGCUGGACAGGAGGCAGAUGCUCUACAGCCUCCUCAUGCCCGUCAUGAACCUGUUCGUCCCGGGGCUGGACAAGGGCAAGGGGCUCUACUUCCUCUUCAUCAAGUCGGAGACCAAGACGCCCGGCGGGCUGCCGGCGAGGCCGGUGCUGACCAGCUACUACAAGAGCGACCACUUCAAGUACCGCCCGUUCGACGCGUACCAGGUGUACACCAGCCCCACGGCGGCCAUCCUCUGCACCGACUCCUUCCAGUCCAUGUACUCGCAGAUGCUGUGCGGCCUGCUGGUGCGCACCGAGGUGCUCCGCGUGGGCGCCGUCUUCGCGUCCGGCCUGCUCCGCGCCAUCCGCUUCCUGCAGCUCCACUGGAAGGAGCUGGCCCGCGACAUCGAGACCGGCACGCUGAGCGCCAAGGUGGCGGAGCCGUCCAUCCGCGCCGCCGUGGCCGAGGUCCUGGAGCCCAACCCGGAGCUGGCGGCGUUCGUGGCGGCGGAGUGCGGCAAGGACAACUGGGAGGGGAUCAUCACCAGGAUGUGGCCCAACACCAGGUACCUGGACGUGAUCGUGACGGGGGCCAUGGCGCAGUACAUCCCCACGCUCAAGUUCUACAGCGGGGGGCUCCCCAUGGCGUGCACCAUGUACGCCUCCUCCGAGUGCUACUUCGGGCUCAACCUCCGCCCCAUGUGCGACCCGUCGGAGGUCUCCUACACCAUCAUGCCCAACAUGGGCUACUUCGAGCUGAUGCCGCACGACCCGGAGGCGCCGGCGGCGGCGGUGUCCAGGGACGACCCGCCGCCGCGGCUCGUGGACCUGGCCGACGCGGAGGUGGGGAAGGAGUACGAGCUGGUGAUCACGACGUACGCGGGGCUGUGCCGGUACCGCGUGGGGGACAUCCUGCAGGUCACCGCGUUCCACAACGCGGCGCCGCAGUUCAGGUUCGUGCGGCGCAAGAACGUGCUGCUCAGCAUCGACUCGGACAAGACGGACGAGGCGGAGCUGCAGGCGGCGGUGGAGCGGGCGGCCAGGCUGCUGGCGCCCUACGGGGCGAGCAUCGUGGAGUACACGAGCGAGGCGGACGCGACGACCAUCCCGGGGCACUACGUGGUGUACUGGGAGCUGAUGCUCAAGGGCUGCCGCGAGGCGCUGUGGCCGGAGGCGGCGGUGUUCGAGCGGUGCUGCCUGGAGAUGGAGGAGGCGCUCAACUCGGUGUACCGGCAGGGGCGGAACGGCGACGCCAUCGGGCCGCUGGAGAUCAGGGUGGUGCGGGGCGGCACCUUCGAGGAGGUGAUGGACUACGCCAUCUCCCGGGGCGCCUCCAUCAACCAGUACAAGGCGCCCCGCUGCGUCUCCUUCGGACCCAUCAUCGAGCUGCUCAACUCCAGGGUGCUCUCCAAGCACUUCAGCCCCGCCUGCCCCAAGUACGGACCGCCAAAGAAGUGA
rnacentral:rRNA from 1 species